CCAGUCGUAGCCGAUGUUCCACAAGAGAGGGCAAAGGACUGACUCCUGUGGAACACUGCACUCGAUGGG
rnacentral:pre_miRNA from 1 species